rnacentral:rRNA from 1 species
GUGCCAGCCGCCGCGGUAAUACCGGCAGCCCGAGUGAUGGCCGAUCUUAUUGGGCCUAAAGCGUCCGUAGCUGGCCGCGCAAGUCCGUCGGGAAAUCCAUCAGCCCAACUGAUGGGCGUCCGGCGGAAACUGCACGGCUUGGGACCGGAAGGCUCGAGAGGUACGUCCGGGGUAGGAGUGAAAUCCCGUAAUCCCGAACGGACCACCGAUGGCGAAAGCACUUCGAGAAAACGGAUCCGACAGUGAGGGACGAAAGCUAAGAUCGCGAACCGGAUUAGAAACCCUGGUAGUCC